CUGAGCGUGGAGCCUGCUUAAGAUUCUCUCUCUCCCUCUGCCCCCCCCCCCCCCCCCCCCGCUUGUGUGUGCACUCUCUCUCUCAAAACAAACAAACAAAAAAACACAUGUGAAACCAAACUAUAUUUGCAGGUGAAAUUCAGCUGUGCCAAUUUUUACCAUCGUGCAAUGAUUUUCAAACUUAGUCUAUUGCUGGUUUUGAACAGCACAUUCUAAAAUUGUAUGUUAAGUUUACUUUUCAGUUACAAAUAAAAUCGAAAUCAUACCUAAUUCUUACAAGAAGCAACAGGCAUUCUUUAAAACCUUUAUAUUAUUCUACAUAAGAAAGGAGGAAGCAUAUGAUUUCCUGAAGAAGUUACAAUUUAUUGCCAAGAAAAAAGUAAUCUCAUAGGACUUUUCACUACAAUUAAUUAAUUAAAAAACAACUUGAGUCUGAAAAUCAAAUAUUACAGAGAGUGCAAAGAAAUGCAGCAGUCUUCUUAAAAAAAAAAAAAAGCAACAGUCUGAAGCAAAUGUCUUCAGCUGCCUCUGAUUUUAUAUUUUGGGAUAUUUAUUUCCAUACUUCUAAAUAAUAUUCUUAUAGUGCUUACAGUGUUUCUUGGCCUUUCAGCUUGAUACAUCAGCUGUUGACUUCCUGCUACGGAAGAAUGAAGAUUUAACUCCAUCGCUUCCCCCACACAUAGUUCGGGCACCAUUUUUUGUCCAAUCGGUUACUAUGUUUUAAAGGCUUAACGUAAACCUCUAUAUUUAUUUAUUUAUUUAUUUGACAGAGAUAGAGACAGCCAGCGAGAGAGGGAACACAAGCAGGGGGAGUGGGAGAGGGAAGAAGCAGGCUCAUAGCAGAGGAGCCUGAUGUGGGGCGAUCCCAUAACGCCGGGAUCACGCCCUGAGCCGAAGGCAGACGCUUAACCGCUGUGCCACCCAGGCGCCCCUCUAUUUUUUUUUCUAUUCCAUCAGAUAUCUGUUGUAACUAUUGAUUUCCUCUCUUAAUAAUUUGUUCAGCCACAAGGAACAGAAAGUCCUACAAAGAAUAGUGGCUCAGACAAAAAAAGGGUCUGUGUGUUUUUCCACAAAGGAAGUCUGCAAGUGGGCAAUUGGCUAGUGUUGCUGUGGCUACUGAACGGUUCUUCAGAGAGCUGGGUUUUGUCCCCUUGCUCAUCGCCUCAGGGUCACAAGAGGACUGUCACAGCUGAAGAUGACUCAUCUCUUUUGGAGGAAGAAGAUUAUAGGCUCCAGUUGCAUCUGUCCCCUUUCAUCAGAAACGCAAAAGCUUCCUCAGAAGUUGCAGGAGACCUGCUGCUGCGUACGUUUCAGUAGCCAAAAUGGCGUCACUCAGGUGUCAGGAAGUCCGGAAGGGCAGGUACUUCGGAAGGCACAUUGCUGUCUUGCCUAAAAAUGAGAUUUUGUUAGUAGGGGAAAAAGCAAGGGACAUGAGGUAAGCGACUAGCAUUGCUGACUGCGUAUUUCUCACGGGGGGCUUUAAGUGGAGGACCCCGGCUGCUGGCAGCUAAUGCUGAUAGUGCUGUUUCUACGGUAACUCGCCUUUGAUCGGCACAGCUUUUUUAGCCAACUUGUGAUGCAAAGCCGUUCACUACAACUUGGUAAGAUAGUUCUGGGAGGGUGUAGUCUGAUGUACUUUUAAUACGUAUCCUGACAUCAACGUGAUAUGGGGGUCGGAUGUAGGAUAUUCAGAGCAGUCGUUCUCAGGGGAAUGGUGCCACCCCCAAGGGAGGGUGUUUUUGUAAUUUGGGGAGGGAGGGGGUUGCUUAACACAAUGAUUGGUCCCUUUGCUGGGUGAUAUUUGAAUGUGUGGAGCCCCGGGGGCGCCAGGCCCUUAUAGAGCACAGGACAGUUAUUUAUAGCCAACAGUUGCCCUACAUCUCUAAUAACAUCUGUAUCUCCCACUGAACAAUUACGUGAAAAUUUUGUUUAUAAUGAGAAAGAAAAAGCACCCCCCUAACAGCUGUCGGCUGGAAGCUGACCCGACCUGAACUGCAAAGCCUAUGGCUUCCUGUUGAACAUAAUUUUAUUCAACACUAACAUCUGACAGAGCCAUUCUGUGACCAUGACAGAGCCAUUCUGUGACCGUGACAGAGCAAGGCAGAAAUAAGGACUCUGUAAUCAUGCUGGAGCAUAGGAACGAGAAUACUGCACAAACCACAAAAAAUGACCAAACACACCCCCUCCCCGUCCUGGCCUACAUGAGUGACUGACUGCCGCUUCGGGCCACUUUCUGCUACCUCCCAGAUGAGCGUGAAGAUGCCCACGUGUAGAAUUCCUUCGUUUUCUGAAAGCACCCAAUCCAGACUGAACCUACGACUUGUGGAACCCUCCUUGAAAGGGCCUGACACAAGCCCAAAUCCUAGAAUAAAUCCUUCCUAACAGUACUGAGGCAUCCCAUGGUGUGGGAUCUCCCUUGUGCAAAGAGCGCUAGUAAACCCACUUGGCUCGACCACAGCUCUGUACCCCAUGGUGUCUCUAGCUGGCGAAUGCUGACAGUAAUUAUCUGAGCCUAGACUCUUAAGUCCGUUGUACAUAUAUAAACUACAAUUUACAUUUUUUGUUGCAGUUUUGCGGUACUCCUCCAAAAACGUGACUGGCGAGUGAGGGAAGGUUGUACUCUUUGCUCAGGACUCUACCAAGAGUUUUUCACCAUUUUGAAAACUCCUGUCACCAGUGGCAACGUUGCUCAUGGCAUUUGAGUGGCAAGUCAAAAUUCACUGCAGCGACCUCGGUCUGCAUCCGCAGUGACCCCUUUCGUGAUGGUUGUUGAAGUCCAACAAUGUCACCCAUGGAUUUGUCUUCAUAAUUGUAAACAUUUCUUCUAGGAUGUUUUCUCUGCCCGCUCUUUUCCUCUUUUUUUUUUUUUUUUAAAGAGGGGGAGAGGGGUAGAAAGACAAUCUUAAGCAGGCGCCAUGCUCUUGGAGCCCGAUGUAGGGCUCCAUCUCACAACGCUGCGAUCAUGACCUGAAUGGAAAUGAGUCAGAAACUACUGACUCAGCCACCCGGGCGCCCCAUCCUCUUUCUGCUUGUAACUUGCACAUCGUCCACUAGAUGGCGGUACAUCAACAUAAAAUGUAAAUGAAACCUUUCCCAUUGCAGCACCUUAUUUACUUGGUUUAGUGGGAAAUGGUGAUUUUCCUGGAAAAUUAGCCUGCAAAUAGUGAGUUAGGACUAAAUCCAUGUUUCCUGUGGUGCAAUUAAUUAAAAUCGGUGCUGAUGAAUCGAUGCUGGACGAAUAGAAUAACGUAUCCAGUACCUAGAGUGUACCUGACACAGAGAUAAAGGUACUGUGGACAAAAAGAAACAUAAGAACCAUCUGUGAUACGUCUGCUUUCCUCGUAUUGCCAAAUCUCCCUCCCCCCACAUUGAACUCUGAGGAUUAGAAGGUCAGUAGUUUUCCCAGGGUCAUAGAAGUAGAGAGAGACGAAGCCAGGAUUUGUCAGUGCUGGGGGAAGACGAUGAGUUUGGAUUGAAGAUACGUUGGGUUUGGGGCACCUGGGUGGCACAGUCGGUUCAGAGUCCGACUCCUGGUUUCAGCUCAGGCUGUGAUCUCAGGGUGAGAUCGAGCCCCCCCACCCCAUGUCGGGCUCUGUGCUCAGCCCAGAGUCUGCUUGAGAUUCUCUCUCUCUCCCUCUGCCCAUCUUGCUCAUGCUCUCUCUCUCUCUCGCUCAAAUAAAUAAAUAAGAGACGUUGGGUCUGAAGCCAGUGGUCACAUCCAAGCACCGGAAUGCAAUGGAGCCUGGAAUUCCACCUUAGGAUUGGGCCAAAGGUGUAAUAAAUUUAAGAGGCCUCUCCACAGAGCGGAGUGGAAGCUAUGAUGACGUAUGGAUUGUCUGUGGCCAAGUGCCUGUUGCAGAACCAACGCCCAAGUGCAUCGACAGAGCAAGGGUUAAGGGUACCUUGCAGACCUGGCAGACCUGAGUUUGAAUCCUGGCCUCCUACUCCCACCUGAGUGUUCACGGGCAAGAUUGUGAACCUCGUUGACCCCUUGCAAGAACCCCACAAGGGGGAUACUGUCUCCAUUUACACGCAAGUGAACUGAGGCUUAAAGAAUGUAGGAAUUGAUCCAAGAUCAUGGCGUGUCUACUGUGCGAUGGAUCCAAGGUUCCAGUCUGGAGUCCGAUUUAGGCUUACACGGCUGCGUACCGCUUACUUUGCUCCCAGGGUCAUAGCACCGAGGACACUGCCUAGUAAUCCCUUGUGUACAUGGGAUUCUCCCUGGACUAGUCAGGGUUCUCCAGAGAAACAGAACGAGCAGGGGAGAUAAGUGUAUCUCUCUCUCUCACUCUGUCUGUAUCUUUAUAUCUCCAUAUCUAUAAACAGUAGGAUACAUUCCAUGAACUAAGUCUGUAUAGAGGUGCCUGUGUAUCUAGUUCACACACACACACACACACACACACACACACAGAUGUAUUUCAAGGAACUGGCUGCUUCUGCGGCUGUGACAUUUGGCCAAGUCCCAAGUCUGUAGGGCAGCUUUGGCCAGCAUUCAUAGCCACGAGCUCCUGUUGCAAUGCCCAGGCCAACUUUCUUCAGGAAACGCUCAAGUUUUGCCCGGAAGGCCUUCUAACUCAUUGGAUGACACCCACCCACCUUACCGAGGGGAAUCUCUUUUACGCAAAGUCAACAGAUUGUAGAUGUUAAUCACAGUGCGGGGAUCGAACUCACGACCUGGAGAUCAAGAGUUGCAUACUCUACCCACGGAGCCAGCUAGGUGCCCUGGAGGCCCACGCCCAAUGUGGGGCUUGAACCCGCAACCCUGAGAUCACGACCGGAGCCAAAAUCAAGAGUCACCCGUUUAACUGACUGUACCACCCAGACGCUCCGUUUUGCCCAGUUUUGAAAAAGGAUCGGGCUGAAGUUUUAGAAAGACCUGUGGCCAGGUUCAACUGACUGCCUUGUCCAACUGAGCCGAUGAAGGGACUGAACAGGUGUGCUGGGCUGUUGCUGGAAGCAUUUCUGCUGUGGCCAAGGGACCGACCUAAAUGACAUCCGGGGCCCAUCCUCAAGGUUCUUUAUGGCUUGAUUUUUUUUUUUUUUUUUAGCUUGGCCUCUAUAAGAGGCAGGCGACACCAACUGACUGUGUUUUGAAGAAUGUUGAGAAAAGAAGAAUCCCCGAAGACCCCACCCCGUUAAAAAAAAAAAAAGACUAGGGUUUUAAAACAAGAAUUUCCCCCACCUAUCAGUUGCAUUUAUAUUUUAAUUUGAUUUCUCACCUUUUGUGUGCCUUUCCGCACAUGUGUCAUACGCAUGUUGUUGCAAUAAACCAUGUGGAUAUCCA